rnacentral:rRNA from 1 species
UACGUAGGGGGCAAGCGUUGUCCGGAUUUAUUGGGCGUAAAGAGCGUGUAGGCGGCUAGGUAGGUCCGUUGUGAAAACUCCGAGGCUCAACCUCGAGACGUCGAUGGAAACCAUCUAGCUAGAGUCCGGAAGAGGAGAGUGGAAUUCCUGGUGUAGCGGUGAAAUGCGUAGAUAUCGGAAGGAACACCGGUGGCGAAAGCGGCGCGCCUGGACCUCUUCUGACGCUGAGGCGCGAAAGCCAGGGAGCAAAGCGGG